rnacentral:rRNA from 1 species
GGUGAGUAACGCGUGGGUAACCUGCCUCAUACAGGGGGAUAACAGUUAGAAAUGACUGCUAAUACCGCAUAAGACCACAGAGCCGCAUGGCUCGGUGGGAAAAACUCCGGUGGUAUGAGAUGGACCCGCGUCUGAUUAGGUAGUUGGUGGGGUAACGGCCUACCAAGCCAACGAUCAGUAGCCGACCUGAGAGGGUGACCGGCCACAUUGGGACUGAGACACGGCCCAAACUCCUACGGGAGGCAGCAGUGGGGAAUAUUGCACAAUGGGGGAAACCCUGAUGCAGCGACGCCGCGUGAGCGAAGAAGUAUUUCGGUAUGUAAAGCUCUAUCAGCAGGGAAGAAAAUGACGGUACCUGACUAAGAAGCACCGGCUAAAUACGUGCCAGCAGCCGCGGUAAUACGUAUGGUGCAAGCGUUAUCCGGAUUUACUGGGUGUAAAGGGAGCGUAGACGGCUGUGUAAGUCUGAAGUGAAAGCCCGGGGCUCAACCCCGGGACUGCUUUGGAAACUAUGCAGCUAGAGUGUCGGAGAGGUAAGUGGAAUUCCCAGUGUAGCGGUGAAAUGCGUAGAUAUUGGGAGGAACACCAGUGGCGAAGGCGGCUUACUGGACGAUGACUGACGUUGAGGCUCGAAAGCGUGGGGAGCAAACAGGAUUAGAUACCCUGGUAGUCCACGCC